CCUACGGGUGGCAGCAGUCGAGAAUCAUUCACAAUGGGGGAAACCCUGAUGGUGCGACGCCGCGUGGGGGAAUGAAGGUCUUCGGAUUGUAAACCCCUGUCAUGUGGGAGCAAAUUAAAAAGAUAGUACCACAAGAGGAAGAGACGGAUAACUCUGUGCCAGCAGCCGCGGUAAUACAGAGGUCUCAAGCGUGGUUCGGAAUGACUGGACGUAACGAGUGCGUCGUCGGUUGCGCAAGUCGUGUGUGAAAGGCCCGGGCUCAACCCGCGGACGGCAUAUGAUACUGCGAGACUAGAGUAAAGGAGGGGGAACCGGAAUGCUCGGUGUAGAAGUGAAAUGCGUAGAUAUCGAGAGGAACACUCGUGGCGAAGGCGGGUUCCUGGACAUUAACUGACGCUGAGGCACGAAGGCCAGGGGAGCGAAAGGGAUUAGAUACCCCAGUAGUC
rnacentral:rRNA from 1 species